rnacentral:rRNA from 1 species
UGGGGAAUUUUGGACAAUGGGGGAAACCCUGAUCCAGCCAUCCCGCGUGUGCGAUGAAGGCCUUCGGGUUGUAAAGCACUUUUGGCAGGAAAGAAACGUCGCGGGUUAAUACCCCGCGAAACUGACGGUACCUGCAGAAUAAGCACCGGCUAACUACGUGCCAGCAGCCGCGGUAAUACGUAGGAUGCAAGCGUUAAUCGGAAUUACUGGGCGUAAAGCGUGCGCAGGCGGUUCGGAAAGAAAGAUGUGAAAUCCCAGAGCUUAACUUUGGAACUGCAUUUUUAACUACCGGGCUAGAGUGUGUCAGAGGGAGGUGGAAUUCCGCGUGUAGCGGUGAAAUGCGUAGAUAUGCGGAGGAACACCGAUGGCGAAGGCAGCCUCCUGGGAUAACACUGACGCUCAUGCACGAAAGCGUGGGGAGCAAACAGGAUUAGAUACCCUGGUAGUCCACGCCCUAAACGAUGUCAACUAGCUGUUGGGGCCUUCGGGCCUUGGUAGCGCAGCUAACGCGUGAAGUUGACCGCCUGGGGAGUACGGUCGCAAGGUUAAAACUCAAAUGAAUUGACGGGGUCAUAGCUG